AUGCACACAGUUGAUAGUGCAAUCCAAUCUGACUGUCUCACAACAGGCAUCCACUCCCAGAUCCACCUGCAGCAGUCUGUGGCUGAGCUGGUGAAACCUGGGUCCUCAGUGAAGCUGUCUUGCAAGAGUGCAGGUUACACCUUUACUGACUACUAUAUAAACCUGAUGCAGCAGAGGCCGGCACAGGACCUCCAUUGGAUUGAAUGGAUUUAUACUUAUAAUGGUAAUACUAACUACAAAAAGAAGUUCCAGGGCAUGUCCACCCUGACUGCAGACAAAUCCUCCAACAGAGACUACAUGGACCUCAACAGCCUGACAUCUGGGCACUCUGUGGCCUAUCACUGUUGGAUAAACAGUAUUGCAACCACAUCCUGA